rfam:Oryza sativa (indica cultivar-group) chromosome 10, whole genome shotgun sequence.
AAUAAGUGCAGUUUUAGCACUGUUCAUGUUUAACGUUUAACCGUUCGUCUUAUUUGAAAAAAUAUUAUGAUUAGUAUUUUUAUUGUUAUUAGAUGAUAUAACAUGAAUAGUACUUUAUGUGUGACUAUUUUUUUAAUAUUUUUCAUAAAUUUUUUAAAUAAGACGAAUGGUCAACACGGAUAUAUAUAUAUGGCUGCACUUAUU